rnacentral:tRNA from 1 species
GCGGGUGUAGCUCAGUGGUAGAGCACGACCUUGCCAAGGUUGGNNCCAAGGUCGGGGUCGCGAGUUCGAGCCUCGUCACCCGCUCCA